CUAAAUGCACCAUUUAAGAAACAGUGGAUAGCAUAUGUACAACUAUGCUAUUUUGAAGGAUAACAAAAGUCACAUCCUUUAUUUAUUUUUUUAUUUGAAUGCAAUAGUUGUGAUUUUGUACAUUCACUUGAUUGAAUCUGAAAUGGAUUUUUGUCUUUUUCAGUCUUGAUGGACAUGGUGUUUCAAAAGGUUGUGCUGUUAACAAUUACAAUCAAUUUACUUAUUUUCAUUUCCUUGUUUCAUAGAUUGUUGUUCACAAGAGUAGCCGAAGAGGGACACAUUUUCGACGUGCCGGGCCUCGCCAAAAGGUGUUGUUUAUCCCAACAUGCAUGUAGUUGGAAACCCUGAAACAUCAUAUAAACCUUACUCACUUCGCCAAAAGCUUCGCUCAAUUUCACUCUCAUUGGAUGCGCUCCUGGAUUAUAAUGACAAGGAUAUUGAGGAAUCAACAUUUGAGGUAUCUCAAAAGGGCAAGAUAGGAAUAACAUUGAUUUCCCACUGGAUGGUCCCCUUCUCUGCAUCUAAGGUGAAUGAUGAUGCAGCUCAAAGAGCUAUCGACUUCAUGUUGGGAUGGUCGAAACAUCACUUUUUGCAAUGAGUAUGAGGAGACCUCCUGCUUCCCUAUUACCCGAACUUGAUACCUCCUCUUGCAAAUUAGAUCUAGUAAAUGAAAUUGUAAACAGGUCCUCGCCCCAUGCCUCCACAUGAUGCCGAGGCAGAAAGCUGGUCCUGAUAAUACGAAGGUGAGAAAGCAUCCGAUGAAAAUCAGUUCUCCUUCUUAGCCUGUUACUUUUUCUUUGCAAAUUACUGUAUGCUGGGUUGAUAUUUCUUAUUGACAUGAACAGUUUCUUUGUUGAUUUGCAGAAAAUGGAGGGAGGGUAACUACUGAUGUAUGGGUUCCAGGGAAUACCAGGAAUCCUGAAACAUGUGUUUUAAAAGACCAGGUACAUAAAAUAUCUGUUUCUGUUCUGAAGGUGCUCCUUCACUAAAUCUGAUUACUAAACUUGUUUAUUGGGAAUGAAUUUUGCAUGUGCAAUUCUAAAUAAACAAUUCCAGAGAAGUGUUUAUUGGAAUCAUUUUUUCCAUUGCUAGAAGCAACACUAAACAGGCCCUAUGCUUGUACAUUUUGGUGGAGCGAAACAGAAGACAUGUUCAGUGUUUCUACUGAUAAUGGCGGAUUGAGGCAUUAUCGUGACUUGCAGGAGUCGCUACAACGUGUUUGUCGAUUUACUGGAUGUCUUUCUACUGUAGCUAUUCUCCCAAGUGAGACCCUUUUUUUUCUGCUGUUUGUCGAUUUACCAAAUGUCUUUCUGCUGUUUGUCGAUUUACUGCACCUACCAAGUCAGUUUGCUUUGCCCCCAAACUUUGUAAUGCCAUUUUGUUAGAUCCAUCUUACAGGUGAAACUACGAAAAAGAUUGUGUGGAGGCUACAAUGCCAGAGCUGCAAACAUGUCUCCCAACACCCAAUUUAAGCAUAGGUGGACUGGUAGAUAUGAAGCCCAUCUAUGGGACAACAGCUGCAAGAAGGAAGGCCAAACUAGAAUAGGAAGGCAAGGUUAGUAAAACAAUAGGGGGAUAACCAUUUUCAGCAUUGUUGGUUUUCCCUUUUGCUUUUCCUUUUUUUUUUUUUUGGUUGAGUUUUUUGAAUUGUUGGCCUGACUGCUAAGAUAUGUGGUUUGUCUGGUUUUUUGCAUGUGCGAUUGCAAUCCAAUUGAAUGCCUAGCAGUUUAUUUGGGGGGGUAUGAUAUUGAAGAGAAAGCUACAAGAGCUUACGACUUAGCGGCGCUCAAGUAUUGGGGAUCUUCAACUCAUAUCAACUUCCCGGUAUAUGAUUCAUAGCAAGCGAAAUGGAUUAAUCUAUCAAUCUCUCUUUACCGAAACUGUGGUUCUCGUGUUUUCUGAUGUUGGCCUCAAUGGAUUCUUUGC